ensembl:lncRNA
AUGAUGUUACAUCCACUGGACCAGAAGUGAGUAUUCCAUCUACUGCUCUUCCUGUUAGACUCUUUUUAGUACCCAUCACUCUGGCUGACUGUCCCUCGUGCCCCGUAUCUACAGCUUUAGUGGAUUCCGGUGUUGCGGGGAACUUUACGGAUCAGACCUUUGCCUCCUCUGUCAAUAUUACUACCUACCCAUUUCCCUCUCCUUUUCCGGUUCAAGGUCUCGACUGUCGGCCUCUAGGAUCCGGAACCAUCACACACAUCACCCAACUACUCACCUUCACCAUGGAGCCCAAUAACCAAGAAAACAUCCCCUUCUUCAUCACCAGUGCACCAGUUCACAAGAUCAUCCUCAGCCUACUUUGGCUUCAGCACCCUAACCAUACCAUCUCAUGGUCGAGGAUGAGAAUCACUGACUGUUCACCUGAAUGCCGGAAGACCUGCUUUCCUGUCCCCUGUGGUUCCACGUGGGUUGAGAAUCCUGUGGAUGCCCUCCAGCCCAACAUCUUGGAGGUAUUCUCCAAGACCCGCGCUACCUGUCACCCUCCACAUCGCCCCUGGGACUGUGCCAUUGACCUGUUUUCCGGUGCUACACCUCCGUGCAAACACAUCUACUCUCUGUCGGUGGCUGAGACACAGGCCAUGGAGGACUACAUUCAAGAGGCGCUCCAACAGGGUUUCAUCCGCAGGUCCACGUCCCCUGCAUCGGCUGGUUUCUUCUUCGUGGCCAAGAAGAAGGGAGGAUUACGCCCUUGUAUCGAUUACCGUGGACUAAAUGACAUCACCAUGAAGUAUCAGUACCCUCUCUCGCUGGUGCCGUCAGCCAUCGAACAGCACCGCAGGGGCCUGGUUCUUUACCAAACUGGACCUGCGGAGUGCCUACAAUCUCAUUCGCAUUUGGGAGGGGGAUGAGUGUAAGACGGCGUUCAGCGCGAUGUCUGGUCACUACGAGUACUUGGUUAUGCCCUUUGUCUUAGCCAAUGCUCCGUCAGUGUUCCAGGCAUUCGUCAACAAGGUGUUCAGGGACAUGCUCGGACGUCAGGUGAUUAUGUUCAUCGAUGACAUCCUGAUCUUCUCGAACAACCUGGGAAAUCACAUCACUCACGUUCGAGCAGUUCUGGAACGCCUCUUGGCUAACCACCUGUUCAUCAAGGCGGAGAAUUGCCAAUUCCACCAGAGGGCUGUCUCCUUUUUGGGCUACCAAAUCAGCCCUGCAGUGAGUAAGGAUGGAGGACAAGAAGGUAGAUGCUAUCACGUUCCUCAUAAUGAGGAGACCAAGGCGCAGCGUGAUAUGAAUUGCAUUCCUCUUUAAUAAAAGAGAACACUGAACAAACUAUACAAAACAACAAAACGACAGUGAAACAAUAUAUAACGAGUGCUGACAUGCACCCAUAGACAAUAACCCACAAAAUACCCAAGGAAUAUGGCUACCUAAAUAUGGUCCCCAAUCAGAGACAACGAUAAACAGCUGCCUCUGAUUGAGAACCAAUCUAAGCAACCAUAGACAUAUAACCCCCCCCAAAGGUGCGGACUCCCUGCCGCAAACCUAAACAUAUAUGGGAGGGUCUGGGUGGGCAUCUAACUUUGGUGGCGGCUCUGGUUCUGGACGCUGCCCCCCUUCUUUACAUUGAGCCAUCCGCCCUUGUAGCACUGACCCGUGGAUCAUCGCCGGAGGCUCAUUGCUGCGGUUCAUCGCUGGCGACCCCGGACUGGGAACCUUUCCUGUAGACCCCGGACUGGGGACCGUCGCUGGAGACCCCGGGCUGGUGACACGCACCUCAGGGCGAGUGCGGGGAGGAGGAACAGGGCGUACUGGGCUCUGGAGACGCACAGGAAGCCUGGUGCGUGGUGCCGGCACUGGUGGUACCGGGCUGGGGACACGCACCUCAGGGCGAGUGUGGGGAGCAGGAACAGUACACACCGGGUUGUGACGGUACACUGGAGACCUGGUGUGUAUAGCCGGCAUAAAUUUUUCUGGAACUUUGACACGUUUCAGGAUGAAUACGAGGAACUGACACAGGUGGCAUUGGACAGCUAACAUGCUCCUCAGGGCGAAUGCCAUGCAUACUACACCAAACCAACAGCUCUCUCUCUUCACUCUCCUCCAAUCUGUCCAAUAACUCCUCGACAAUCUCAGACUCACCCCUCAACUUCGCCGACUGCUCCAUGUGCCUCCCCAAAAAAUCUUGGGGUUUCUGUGGCCUACCUCCCCGACGUUGUUGCUGUCCUCUCUUACUUCUCUGUUCCUCCUGCUUUGUUUCCACCUGCCUCCAUGGUAGGCAAUCCUCUCCUGCCAAAAUCUCCUCCCACGUCCAGGAUCCUUUACCGUCCAGUAUUUCGUCCCAGGUCCAUUUUUCCACCAAGCGCUGUUCCUCCCUUUCACGCUGCUUGGUCCAGGUUUGAUGGGUUAUUCUAUCACGUUCGUCAUAACGAGGAGACCAAGGCGCAGCAUGAUAUGAAUACAUUCCUCUUUAAUAAAAGAGAACACUGAACAAACUAAACAAAUCAACAAAACAACCGUGAAGCUAUAUAUAACGAGUGUUGACAUACAACUAACCAUCAACAAUAACCCACAAAAUACCCAAGGAAUAUGGCUACCUAAAUAUGGUCCCCAAUCAGAGACAACGAUAAACAGCUGCCUCUGAUUGAGAACCAAUCCAGGCAACCAUAGACAUAUAAACCCCUAGACUAGUAAACACCAUAAACAUACAAAAACCCUAGACAGGAUAAAAACACAUAUACCCACCCUCGUCACACCCUGACCUGACCAAAAUAAUACAGAACACAUGGAUAACUAAGGUCAGGGCGUGACAGAUGCGAUAAGAUCAUGGGAUCAGAUCAUCCCACUCUACCUUUUGUGGUUGAGGUAGACGCAUCGGAGGUGGGUCUGGGGGAAGUUUGGACACAACGACAGGGGAGACCCACUAAAAUUGUAUCCUUGUGCUUUCUUCUCCGAGAAACUGUGCCCCGCAGAGAGCAAUUAUGAAAUCGGCGAUCGGGAGCUCUCGGCGGUGAAGUAGCUGGAGGAUGCCAAGGAACGAUUCGUCAUCCUCACCGACCAUCGGAACCUUGAGUACAUAUGGAGACUGAAUCUGCGCCAAGCCAGGACUAGAAGACACUGGGUAUCUCUCCUCUGAUGGCUGCCAUGAAUGGUCACGUCCCUGCGGUCAAGCUGCUGCUGGACAUGGGCUCAGACAUCAACACUCCGAUCGAGACCAAACGUAACACAGCACAGACCCUGGCCUGCCAACGUGGAGCACUGCGUCAAGGGUGUGUCAGGUGGCUAUGCUGAGAUGGGGCAUGUUCUGCUGGACAAGAGCGCUUACGUCACCUGUCCAAACCUUCCAAGACACCGUGUGCACCAUUGCUGCAGACAAGGGCCACUACAAGUUCUGUGAGCUCCUCAUCAACAGCUAAUUACUGUUACAGUCUACCUUCAGUAUGAGAGUGAGUGUCAUUUCAGUCAGAAUACCAUUCCUCUCCAGUCUCAUUGCUCAGACCUGCAACUCGUCUCUGAGUUCACUUGUGAAGUUACAGAAAACGUUUGACCUCUGUCAUUGCCAACAAAGGGUAUAUAACAAAGUAUUGAGAAACUUUUGUUAUUGACCAAAUACUCAUUUUCCACCAUAUUUUGCUAAUAAAUUCAUUAAAAAUCCU